rnacentral:rRNA from 1 species
GACGAACGCUGGCGGCGUGCUUAACACAUGCAAGUCGAACGGUGAAGCUCCAGCUUGCUGGAGUGGAUCAGUGGCGAACGGGUGAGUAACACGUGAGCAACCUGCCCCUGACUCUGGAAUAAGCGCUGGAAACGGCGUCUAAUACUGGAUACGAGAAGGGUCCGCAUGGGCACUUUCUGGAAAGUUUUUCGGUUGGGGAUGGGCUCGCGGCCUAUCAGCUUGUUGGUGAGGUAAUGGCUCACCAAGGCGACGACGGGUAGCCGGCCUGAGAGGGCGACCGGCCACACUGGGACUGAGACACGGCCCAGACUCCUACGGGAGGCAGCAGUGGGGAAUAUUGCACAAUGGGCGAAAGCCUGAUGCAGCGACGCCGCGGGAGGGAUGACGGCCUUCGGGUGGUAAACCUCUUUCAGCAGGGAAGAAGCGAAAGUGACGGGACCUGCAGAAGAAGCACCGGCUAACUACGUG